rnacentral:lncRNA from 1 species
CUGUCAGCCCUCCCUGACCCUGAUUAGGAGUGUAGGCCAUGGAUUUAGGUGGCCAGCGUUCGAAUUCUGUUAGAUACUGGGCAAGUGGCUGAGCGCGUGUUACUCUUAGUUUCCAAUCUGAAGGUGAGACCCAUAGGGUUAUCAUGGGAACACAGUAAGAAUACAACAAACAACAGACAUUAUUGAUAUUAAUAAUUUUGUAUUUCUUCUAAGGGGCCUGCCAGGCUUCGACAUAGAGGUGCCCCUAUUACUGACAAGCCUUCAUGUGCCAGCCCCAUCCUGGGUGCUGGCAAGGAGGAGACAGGUUACAUCGUCCCCAUCUUUAAGGAGCCCUGGGGGAGGAGCAUACCUGUAAACUGUGGGGUCCUAGAAGAUCUGGUUUGAAUGGAAUCUUGAAGGAUGAGUAGGAUGGGGUUGCUAAGCAAAGGAGGGCAUUGCAGGCAAGAGAAAUUCCAAGUGGGAAGUUUGGAGGUGGGCAAGAACAUAGUUAAUUCAGCCAGCUGGAUGUGGAUUGUUGUAGGUGGACCAGCAGAGGGUGGGUGGGUGGGGUAGCUGGAGGCGAUAAGGCUGGCCAGAGACUAAACCAUCAUGAGCCAUGUAUGCCAGUCUAAGGACUUUGGUCUUGAUCCAUUUGGUAAUGAGGAGUCUUGGAAUAUUUUUGAGCAGGGGAGCAGUAGUCUCAGAUCUGUAUUACCAAAUUGACAAUAGGAUAAAGGAUGUAUCAGAAUUGGAGGGGACAAGAUAAGAGACAAGAAGAUGGUGAAAACUUCAAUCUGGAAAACACUACUUGAACCCUUUUAGAGGCAAUUCAGUCUAUAUUGUAGGCCUGAGACAGGGCACCCUCAGAUACGUGGCACCCAUUUUACUGAACCAUAAGUUACCUUUUUUUCAAUCAGGCACCCUCCUCCCUGCUCUCAGAACUCGAAGCCAGGUAGUCCACUAAUUAUUAAAGAACAUGCUGGACACCCUUUUCCCCAUCAUCAGGGAUUUCUUCCUCUAGUCUGAAUUAAACCCUUGGGAUUGGAACUUAA